CUGGCGCUGCUACCAUGCAGUCGAACGUGAUCCGCCCUUCGGGGUGGUGAAAGUGGCGCACGGGUGAGUAACGCGUGGAUAAUCUGCCCGAGGAUUUGGGAUAACAUCUCGAAAGGGGUGCUAAUACCGAAUAAGCCCACGGGGUCUACGGAUCUUGCGGGAAAAGGGGGGGACCUUCGGGCCUCCUGUCCUUGGAUGAGUCUGCGUACCAUUAGCUAGUUGGUGGGGUAAUGGCCUACCAAGGCGACGAUGGUUAGCUGGUCUGAGAGGAUGAUCAGCCACACUGGAACUGAGACACGGUCCAGACUCCUACGGGAGGCAGCAGUGGGGAAUUUUGCGCAAUGGGGGAAACCCUGACGCAGCAACGCCGCGUGGGUGAUGAAGGCCUUCGGGUCGUAAAGCUCUGUCUGGAGGGAAGAAAUGAUUGGGAGCUAAUACCUCUUGAUCUUGACGGUACCUCUGAAGGAAGCACCGGCUAACUCCGUGCCAGCAGCCGCGGUAAUACGGAGGGUGCAAGCGUUGUUCGGAAUUAUUGGGCGUAAAGCGCGUGUAGGCGGUCUUUUAAGUCUGAUGUGAAAGCCCCGGGCUCAACCUGGGAAGUGCAUUGGAAACUGGGAGGCUUGAGUACGGGAGAGGAGAGUGGAAUUCCUAGUGUAGGAGUGAAAUCCGUAGAUAUUAGGAGGAACACCGGUGGCGAAGGCGGCUCUCUGGACCGAUACUGACGCUGAGACGCGAAAGCGUGGGUAGCAAACAGGAUUAGAUACCCUGGUAGUCCACGCCGUAACGAUGAGUACUAGGUGUUGCGGGUAUGACCCCUGCA
rnacentral:rRNA from 1 species